AGAACAUUGCCCAAAUAAAGGUAGACAAUUGCGAUAACAAAGAAAUUCCAAAUAGCAUCUUCAAAUCCAGUAAAGCAAAGGACCCUUUUUCUGAGAUCGCCCGAAAACAUUCCAGUAUACCCCUUUUAUUUCCAUCAUUUGUGUUGAGACCCAUUUUUUAGGAAUAUAUCAUCUUUGUCAAGCUGCAGGGCUUUAGGAUCGAGCGGAAUCGUUCCCACGGUCAAAACACCAGAAGUUGUGGUAUUAUAUCCAU
rnacentral:misc_RNA from 1 species